rnacentral:rRNA from 1 species
UACGUAGGGGGCAAGCGUUGUCCGGAUUUAUUGGGCGUAAAGAGCGUGUAGGCGGCCAGAUAGGUCCGUUGUGAAAGCCCGAGGCUCAACCUCGGAACUGCCUUCGAUACUGCGGGUCUCGAGUCCGGGAGAGGUGAGUGGAAUUCCUAGUGUAGAGGUGAAAUUCGUAGAUAUUAGGAAGAACACCAGUGGCGAAGGCGGCUCACUGGCCCGGUACUGACGCUGAGGCGCGAAAGCGUGGGGAGCAAACAGG